UGCAGAAGUGUGCUCUUGUUAAGAAGAAUGGUGCAUGAGAGUUGGGCAUAUUAAUCUUCAAGCUGAAAAUUGAAAUAGCCAAGGAAGGAAGAAGUACCUGUGCCAAACACUGGAUUGCCCUGGGGCCCAACUUGAUUGGACUGCUGGAUACCUUGUCUUCCAGCCACUGAUGGCAGGAGGAGUAACCACGGCACAGCAGAAGCGGGCAGCCAGCCUCAGCCCACGCCUCCCUGCUGCUCCCACGCCUGAGGAAAAUGUUCCCUGUUGAGAUGCUCACUGCUGCCCUGGGCUUCCUCUUGCAGACACACCGACCUCUGAACCAUCAAGGCUGGAAAAGACCUCUUGAUCAUCUAGUCUGUCCAUCCACCUACCGCCAGUAUUGCCUGCUAAACUAUGUCCCUAAGAUGAAAUGAUCG
rnacentral:lncRNA from 1 species